GUGCCAGCAGCCGCGGUAAUACGUAGGGUGCGAGCGUUAUCCGGCCAGCAGCCGCGGUAAUAGCUCGUAGGCGGUUUGUCGCGUCUGUCGUGAAAGUCCGGGGCUUAACCCCGGAUCUGCGGUGGGUACGGGCAGACUAGAGUGCAGUAGGGGAGACUGGAAUUCCUGGUGUAGCGGUGGAAUGCGCAGAUAUCAGGAGGAACACCGAUGGCGAAGGCAGGUCUCUGGGCUGUAACUGACGCUGAGGAGCGAAAGCAUGGGGAGCGAACAGGAUUAGAUACCCUGGUAGUCC
rnacentral:rRNA from 1 species